UGGAGGUUGUGCCCUUGAGGCGUGGCUUCCGGAGCUAACGCGUUAAGUCGACCGCCUGGGGAGUACGGCCGCAAGGUUAAAACUCAAAUGAAUUGACGGGGGCCCGCACAAGCGGUGGAGCAUGUGGUUUAAUUCGAUGCAACGCGAAGAACCUUACCUGGUCUUGACAUCCACGGAAGUUUUCAGAGAUGAAAAGGUGCCUUCGGGAACCGUGAGACAGGUGCUGCAUGGCUGUCGUCAGCUCGUGUUGUGAAAUGUUGGGUUAAGUCCCGCAACGAGCGCAACCCUUAUCCUUUGU
rnacentral:rRNA from 1 species